GGCCCUAUGGCGCAACGGUAGCGCGUUUGACUCCAGAUCAAAAGGUUAUCCGUUCAAAUCGGGUUGGGGUCAC
rnacentral:tRNA from 1 species